GACAGAGGCCUCAAGCGUUAGGCGGAAUCACUGGGCUUAAAGCGUGUGUAGGCGGAUCGUUAAGUGCCUUGUGAAAUCCCACGGCUUAACUGUGGAACGGCUGGGCAUACUGGCGGUCUUGAGCCAUCUAGGGGCGACUGGAACAAACGGUGGAGCGGUGAAAUGCGUAGAUAUCGGGAGGAACACCUGUGGCGAAAGCGGCUCACUGGACCACAACUGACGCUGAUGCGCGAAAGCUAGGGGAGCAAACAGG
rnacentral:rRNA from 1 species